AUAAAAGCUAUGAUGGAGACAGUAAGCUUUAGAUAAUUUUACAGAGAGUUGGGUUGCUGAGAACCAAUAAAUUUAUAAAGUGGAAAAUCACUCCGAAGCUGCAGGCUGAAAAAGUAUUUGAUUAAGCUGUGCCGGUAAAGUGCCGUUAUACUAUUUAAGUGCUAUACAUAAGUAAAGUAUAUUUUAUAUAUGUAUAGAAUUAGGGUGGUAACGCGAUUAAUACUCGUCCCUUGU
rnacentral:ncRNA from 1 species